GACGAACCGUGCGAACGUUGUUCGGAAUUACUGGGCGUAAAGCGUGCGCAGGCGGUUAUGCAAGACAGAUGUGAAAUCCCCGGGCUCAACCUGGGAACUGCAUUUGUGACUGCAUGGCUAGAGUACGGUAGAGGGGGAUGGAAUUCCGCGUGUAGCAGUGAAAUGCGUAGAUAUGCGGAGGAACACCGAUGGCGAAGGCAAUCCCCUGGACCUGUACUGACGCUCAUGCACGAAAGCGUGGGGAGCAAACAGG
rnacentral:rRNA from 1 species